CCCUCAUCGCCUCCGCAGGGGUCUGCAGGGCUUUGCUCAGGAGCCAGAGCCUAUGAGGCCAGAAGGGCAGCUCGGGAGUGAAGAGGCCUAAGGACUUCAUUGUCAGAAACGUACCGCAGCCAGGAGAGGGGCAUGGACCACAGUGAGGAGGUUACCCAAGCCCCAGCUGGCACUGUGGUGUCUCAGGAGCUGCUGGAAGAAAUGCUUUGGUUUUUUCGGGUAGAAGAUGCAUCUCCUUGGAAUAUUUCCAUUUUUGUCUUGGUGGGCGUGGUGGUCGUGAUAAGCAUCGUCCUCCUGGAAAGGAGCAUCAGAGGAAACAGGUGAGGAGCUGAUCUGGGGGUGGCCUCUGGAGGGUGGGGGCCCUGCCCUCCCAAGAGAAAUCACCUAAGGGCCUUGGCUGUCCACCCUUUAAGACAGCAAAAUGCAGCCUUCAGGGUCCUUUGAGAACCCAAAGCUGUUGAAAAACUAGCAACUGUCCCCAGUUACCACCCCCUGCCCCUGGCCAGUGAGCAGGACAGAUGCUGGUAUGUCUGAGGUCAGGGUCUCUGGCUCUGGAGUUGCACAGGCCUGGGUUCAAAUCCCAGCUCUGCCCCUCACUGGCAGGGCAAUAUAUUCAACACCUCCGAACCAGUUUCUCCUCCUAUGAAUGGUGAUAAUAACCAAUUCCUUCCUCCUAGGAUUGUGGGGAGUGCUCAGUGGGGACUAUUGCCGAGUUAGGGAUGCUGAUAAAGGGGAGAGCCUUGCCCUGCUCUAAGGUCAAAUGCAGGGCUCAGGUAGAGACCUGAGAUCCGUAGCGGCUCCUGGGGUAAUUUUAACAUUUUUAUAAUGACAAUACUCCUUAACCCUGGAUGUGUAACAGAAUCAUUUGAGAAGGAAUAUUAAAAAUACGGAAUGCUGUGCCUUGCCUUGGACAUUCUGACACAAAUGGUCUGGGGUGGGACCUGGGCAGUGGCAUUUGGUGAAACUGUCUAGAUGAUGCCAGGACUAAUGUUUGGGAGCUCCUUGAGGGCAGGGAUCACAUUUGACUUAACUCUGUUUCCCCAAGUAACUGGCAGUGUCUGAUCUCAGCAAUCACUCAAUAAAUGCUUGGUUCACUAAUCCCCAUUCAUUCAUUCAACAAUUACUAUAUACACAUCAGUCAUCACUAUCAGUAACUUUGAAACAAUGAAAUCCUCUCCUCAAAUCUGUAUGAUAUUUUAUAAUUUUAAAAGCACCUCACAUUCUCUCAGUUUGAUUCUCAAGACAGCUCCAUAAGGUGGGGCAAACACCAGUUACUUAUUCCCGUUGCAUAGAAUAAGGUCAUUGAGGAUCCAUGGGAGGGUUGGCCUAACCUCUGGGCUCUUUCUUCUGUGCCAUAUUUUGUAUCAUCUAUGAAUCUUUCUCACAAUUCUGCUAUAAAGGCAAAAAGAAAUACCCCACAUAGUUCACAUUGAGAACUGGUCAUUAUGAACUGCUAUGGACCCGUCAUCAUUCAUUCCACAGAUAGGAGGCUGAGCACCUGCUCUGUGCCAGGCUCUGUGCUGAGAUGAGGAGCCACAGUAGUGGCCUAGGAUAGAUUCGGCCCCAGCCUUGUGCACUUUACAGUUUGGUGGGGAGAUGAUUAUAGUUCAGGGUGAGAGAUGGUGAUUGUAGGAUAUAUAUAUAUAUGCGUAUUGUAGAAGCACAGAGCUGGGAUCCGGGGCCUUCAGGGCCUUCAGGUUGUGGGAGCUUUCCAGACCAAGGGACAACAUGCACCAAGCUCGAGGUGGGAGGAGGAGGGCCU